rnacentral:rRNA from 1 species
UGCGUAGGUGGUUGAUCAAGUUAGUAGUGAAAUUCCGGGGCUUAACUUCGGCGCUACUACUAAGACUGACCGACUUGAGUGCAGGAGAGGUAAGCGGAAUUCCUAGUGUAGCGGUGGAAUGCGUAGAUAUUAGGAGGAACACCAGUGGCGAAAGCGGCUUGCUGGCCUGUAACUGACACUGAAGCACGAAAGCGUGGGGAGCAAACA